CUGAGGACAACACCCCAUAGGGGUCAAGCACUGGAAUGUCUGACCUCAAAACAAGAAGACCUGUAUUCGGUCAAUUGCCCUAGGAUGAGUCUGCGGCGGAUUAGUUUGGCGGUAGGGUAAUGGCCUACCGUGACUAUGAUCUGUACCGGCAUUGGGAGAUGGAGCCGGGAGAUGGACACUGAGACAAAGGUCCAGGCUCUACGGAGUGCAGCAGUCGCGAAACCUUCGCAAUGCGCGCAAGCGUGACGGGGGGACCCCAAGUGCACAUGUUUAACAUGUGCUUUUCUCAAGUCUAAAAAACUUGGGGAAUAAGGGCUGGGUAAGACUGGUGCCAGCCUCCGCGGUAACACCAGCAGCUCAAGUGGUGAUCGCGUUUACUGGGUUUAAAGCGUGCGUAGUCGGUUCGGCAAGUUUUCUGUGAAAUCCUGGCGCUUAACGUCAGGGAUUGCAGAAAAUACUACCGAGCUAGAGACCGGAGUAGGAGUGAGGUAUUCUAGGGGUAGCGGUGAAAUGCUAUAAUCCCUGGAGGACCACCCGUAGCGAAAGCGUCACUCUAGUACGGGUCUGACGAUGAGGCACGAGAGCUAGGGGAGCAAACAGGAUUAGAUACCCUGGUAGUCCUAGCCGUAAACGAUGCGGGUUUAGUGUUCCUCAAACCUCGCGUUCGAGGAGCGCUGAAGGGAAACCGUUA
rnacentral:rRNA from 1 species